rnacentral:rRNA from 242 species
GCGACCCCAGGAUGGGCGAGGCCACCCGCCGAGUUUAAG